GGUCCGGUAGUUCAGUUGGUUAGAAUACCGGCCUGUCACGCCGGGGGUCGCGGGUUCGAGUCCCGUCCGGACCG
rnacentral:tRNA from 1 species